rnacentral:lncRNA from 1 species
UGGCAUCCCAGCGAAAUGGGUCUUUCUUUUCAACGACGUGAUCUGGGUUCGAGUCACAGCGAAUAUUGAGCUGCAAUUAAAUAUAAUCAUGGUGGAUAUCGAACCCUGAUUAAAUGUCAGAGCAUGAUUCUAACCUUUUCAACCCCAAUCUUGAUGGAGAUAAACCAUGAUCUAAAUUCAUUUUCAACCAUCUAGUAAGAAGACUAGAAUCUAAAGUCACAAGUCUUGUCUAUGCAAAGGUUGC